rnacentral:lncRNA from 1 species
GGUGUAAAAGUACAAGGGAAACGAUGUAUGAAAGGUGCAUUUACACUGAUAUGAAAUGAUUGUUUCCUACACAGCAAACACUCAGCGGGCACCAGGGCUGCAUUUGCAAUAGCUCCUUUCACUUCUUCUUAGUUUUAUACUGGCGCACUACAGAAACGUUCUGCGGUGUUUCUUUGGCUCUUCAUCACAAGGAUUUCAUUUCUUCCUCAGAUCAGCCUUCAGGACUUGAUCAGGGCAAAGCUCUGUGGGCAUUUUGUUCUCCUAACAGCCCCUUUGGUUGGCUGCUGCAAACGAAAGCGGCUGCUGAGAGGCCCCAUGCCACGUGCAUGGUGCAGAGCUGCCCCAGCAAAUCACCUGCGGGAUCUCAGAGGAGCUGGAGAGGAAGAGCAUUAAGAGAAAUGCCUCAUCCAUUUUUUUAUGAGGGCUAAGCCCAUCGAGCUGUCUGAUUUCUCUGUGCAGCUGGCUGUGAUGGACGGAGAAGUGGCUUAGAUGGAUGCUUUGGUACCACCUGAUGGAGCCGUUAGAAAGGCUCAACAGGAGCGAGGAAUUAGAGGCAAUCCUCUCUCUAACAUCAGAGUGCUGGAUGUCUGGGCCAGGCUUUGUUAGGCUCUGCUCAGAACCUGCUCUGUAGUGACUGUUUCCCUAUGGAUGCACAGCCGUGUUCUGGGGAAGUGCAGUGAAACUGAAACAGGCAGCAUGGCUUGUGGGAUUCUCCAUGGGAUAAAAUGGGGAGGGGAGAAGCAGAGGUACAAAGGUGCAAGGCUAAAUACCAGAGCCCUUUCUCCCCUGUUCUCCUUUGUGGAGGUUUUCUAAUGAGCAUCCUCAUCUUCUGUAACUCCUCACAGCUGUGAAUGGUUAAUGCAGGAGCCAGGCCAGGCUGCAGCUCACCACUCAUAUUUUGGGUCACUCAGGGCUUUUUUCUGUGAAAGUUUUAUGAGCAUGCCUAGUAUUUAUCUAAUGAGAGUAAUUACUCACAACUGUAUUUACUUGAUCCAUUUGGGUAAAGACACCUCUCCUGGAGGUGGUGUGCUGCUUUGUCCCAUCCCCAGACCAGCACAGCUUGGGGCCUGCAGGAUGGUUGGGGCUUUCCACGUUCUCAGAGUCUACGGACAAAUGAACACAAACCACUGGGAGAUGCCCUGCCAGACAGAGAUGAAUAGGACGGCCGGCGGGCGCGCGCUGCUGGGCACAGCCCCAGGCUCAGCGCUCAGAAGGACUGCUGCUGACCCACCAGAAGCUUCCAGGGAUGGUAGCUCUAAAACAACACCGUACCCUGGGUCCUGUCUCUGCAAAUACAUGGAGCUGAAAGCAUACUCCUUCCAGAAGGUCACUGGGUUCCCCUUCUACAGAGGCACCGGGAUAUUUAUGGGGCACCUGCAGCAUUUCUGUCAAGAUCCUUUCUCCUAAUAUAUGCAUUAGAGUUUUUGAGCUCGGUGUGCAAGAAAGAUUAUAAAGCCUGCACAAUAAAUCUGCUCGUAUUAAUUCA